AAGCAAGAACCGCUAGCGGGAGACGCUCUCCAAGAGCGCUUUGCGGUGAUUCCGCUCUGGGCUCGUUUUGAACGGUGUGUGGCUCGCCAUGUUCAGAGAAGAUCGUGGUCCAAACCCCCAUUUUAUGAACAAAGAAACUGAGGCCCCGAGUUAAGUGCAGACUUGCCUAACGUGGCAGUCAAGAGAGGACGCCAAUGCUAACACGGUGGAGAGAGAAGUCCUAGCUCCGGGGCCGGAUUCUUUCCCCACCUACACCAGAAAGAACACUUUAAUUCCAAUGGAACUCCUGGCCCAGCCCGCGGGCGUGGGACACAGAACAGAGUCAGGUAGGCAGGAGAAAGCUUCCACACCCGAGACCGCCUGGACCUCAAGGAGGAGUUUUUCCGACAGUGCUGGAUGCAAAUUAAAUAUUUCCCUCCACUGGAGACUUAUCUCAGGGCACUGCCCCGCCCGUAUAUUCAAAUCGCUGGUUUGGGGUUUUGACUUCUGCUCCGCGCCGAGCGCGCGCGGGAAGCAGAGCUUGCCACCUGCUGCCUCCAGCUCCGCCAUCUUUCCUCCCUGAGUCUACCUCACCUGCAUCCCAGGCUCCUGGUCAUCUCUUGUUAUUGUUCUCCCGCCUUCCUGCAAACUUAACUCUUAGCUGCUUGACCGGCUUAGAAGAAGGAACGGCAUAUUCUCGGGCCCUGUCCCUCAUACUUAGGCUGAGUCCACCAGGGGCAAGGAGCAUCCAGCCUAGUCACCUCUCAGGACAUGCCCUAUUGGUCCACAGCACAGAAUGGCAUCUCCUUUGGGUCAGUACAGUGUCCCAGAACCAUGUCACUAAUACUCCUCAUUUAGGAGCUAAAAGGAUGCUGCUCCGGCCCUCCACCCGCGGCAGUGGGAUCCUGGAUGGCGGCCAUAGAAUUUCGUCUUGCCAAGUGAUAUGGACAUCACACUAAAGGAAGAUAAGCCACAGCUGUGUGUUCCCAGCUCCCGCUCACCACUGUUUCAAACUUCGGUGUGUAUUUACUACCACACUUGUGCUGGAGUUUCUCUGUAUUGCUUUGGAGCCUGUCCUGGAACUUGCUCUGUAGACCAGGCUGGCCUUGAACUCAGAGAUCC
rnacentral:lncRNA from 1 species